GGGGAUUUAGCUCAGUGGCAUAAGCACCUGCCUUGCAAGCAGGCGGUUGUGAGUACUAUCCCUG
rfam:Cavia porcellus supercont2_5 genomic scaffold, whole genome shotgun sequence.